AUUGAACGCUGGCGGCAGGCUUAACACAUGCAAGUCGCACGAGUGGCGGACGGGUGAGUAAUGCUUGGGAAUCUACCUUAUGGAGGGGGAUAACUACGGGAAACUGUAGCUAAUACCGCGUACCAUAGGCUGAGCCCACGUGGGAUUAGGUAGUUGGUGAGGUAAAGGCUCACCAAGCCGACGAUAUAUAGCUGGUCUGAGAGGAUGACCAGCCACACUGGGACUGAGAGACGGACCAGAAUCCAGCGGGAGGCAGCAGUGGGGAAUAUGGCGCAAGGGGGGCAAGCUGAGGCAGCCAUGCCGCGUGAAGGAAGAAGGCAUUCGGGUUGUAAAGUUCUUUCGAUAGCGAGGGGUUAACUACAGAAGAAGCACCGGCUAACUCCGUGCCAGCAGCCGCGGUAAUUC
rnacentral:rRNA from 1 species